CCUACGGGAGGCAGCAGUGGGGAAUAUUGCGCAAUGGGCGAAAGCCUGACGCAGCGACGCCGCGUGAAGGAUGAAGGUCUUCGGAUUGUAAACUUCUUUCAGCAGGGAAGAACGGUCACUGGUCUAAUCAGUAGUGAAUUGACGGUACCUGCAAAGGAAGCACCGGCUAACUCCGUGCCAGCAGCCGCGGUAAUACGGAGGGUGCGAGCGUUAAUCGGAAUUACUGGGCGUAAAGCGCUCGUAGGCGGUUUGUGAAGUCAGAGGUGAAAUCCCCUGGCUCAACCUGGGAACUGCAUUUGAAACUGGCAAACUGGAGUGUGUGAGAGGUGGGUGGAAUUCCAGGUGUAGGAGUGAAAUGCGUAGAGAUCUGGAGGAAUACCAGUGGCGAAGGCGACCAGCUGGAACAUAACUGACGCUGAGGUGCGAAAGCGUGGGGAGCAAACAGGAUUAGAUACCCUUGUAGUC
rnacentral:rRNA from 1 species